UUUUGAUCUAUUUCUUGAAAUGGCGAUGAGAACUUUGUGGAGAACAAGGCUCUCCUGGACUACACAAAAUUGUCUAAUGAUGCAGAAGUAGUCAAACCCAGUUCCAUGGCAGUGUCUGAAUUUCAUUUCUUCUUCUUAUUGGGAACAAGGUUAAGUCAUGUCUUGUGUGUUCAUUAAAUGCGACACCAGUUGUAAACAGAAUCAGCGAGCAAAUCAUAGAGGAACUUCAGUUUGAUCAGGCAUCAGACUCAAGUGGAAUUAUUAGACUAUGUAGUGAUGCAACUGCAGGGUUGUUCUAUGCAUAUGACCAGAACUCUUUAUCUUUCAGAUUUCUGUGAAUGACGAAGGACUGGAUAUGUGGAAGGUCUAUCUAGAUAUGAAUGAGUAUGCUGCAGCCUUAGCUAAUUCUUGUGACCCAUUCCACAGAGACCAAUUAUAUUCAGAUCAGGCUGAAGCUGCAUUUACCUCUAGGGACUUUCUCAGCGCAGAAACUUUUUAGAUGCUUUGAGAACUUUCUUGUUACAGAAGCUUGACAACCUUGCAAAGGAUGAUAAAUGCCAAAUAACGAUGAUAUCCACAUGGCCAACAGAACUGUACCUGGAUAAGGUUUUAAUUUUUCCCAUGCAUGACUAGUUGAUAUAUAACCUAGCUAUGGUCAUGGUUUCUUUCUUUGCCUUCUACAAUAUGCUACUGGCUUUAUAAAACAGAAAUGUGUAAGUGGCAACAGGUUAGAAUGGCUACAUGCUAGGUUGUAACAUGAUACUUACAGCAUCAUGUUGGUUUCAGUGAGUUUCUUCUUCAUUUCUAUAACGAUAAUAGAUAAUGGCUACAUGAGAUAAGUGCCUAAUAUAAUUUUUUUUUUAUCAUUUUCAACCCAUUUUCUUCUUUUGCUCUUUUUUUGUUCUUUCUUUAGGUCAUUUACCAUCCUCAUAUUCUUCCUGCUAUAUCUAAAGCAAGCAAAGAAUAAUAAUAUUAGCUAUAUUUUUGGUCCUGAACUUGAUGAAUAAUGGGCAUAAACACUUGGAAGCAACUUUUGAAAUGCCUCUGCUUUUUAGGAAAUUAAUAUUGUUCAUUACUUGCCUUGUGGAUUGCACUGUUUUAAGAUGAACAAGUUCUCCCUUGAUGCAAGAAAACCAUGGAGCAGUAGCUGGUAUUUUACGUAUCUCUAAUACUGGAUUUUGUAUCCCAACAUUUUAGAUAAAUCAGCUUCUUUUAGAAGAUGAUACAGCUUUGGAGAAUCGUAAUUCGGAAUAUCAAUCAAUCAUUGAAGAGUAUCGUGCUUUCCUUAGUGACUGCAAAGAUGUGUUGGGUGAGAUGACUACAAUGAGACUUCUGGAGAGGUAACAAUCUGUGAUUCAUAAACCGUUUGUAAUUCUCUCCUAAUUGUCAACAUUAUUAUGUAACCGGUCUUUCAUGGGUUUACAACAUUAUCUUUUGCAUUUGUUCUGUCUUAAUGGUUAUAUAGAUUUAAUUGUAAAGAAUGUUAGCGUAGGAAGAUAAA